rnacentral:rRNA from 1 species
AUUGAACGCUGGCGGCAGGCCUAACACAUGCAAGUCGAGCGGAUGAAGAGAGCUUGCUCUCUGAUUUAGCGGCGGACGGGUGAGUAAUGCCUAGGAAUCUGCCUGGUAGUGGGGGAUAACGUCCGGAAACGGGCGCUAAUACCGCAUACGUCCUACGGGAGAAAGCAGGGGACCUUCGGGCCUUGCGCUAUCAGAUGAGCCUAGGUCGGAGUAGCUAGUUGGUGAGGUAAUGGCUCACCAAGGCGACGAUCCGUAACUGGUCUGAGAGGAUGAUCAGCCACACUGGAACUGAGACACGGUCCAGACUCCUACGGGAGGCAGCAGUGGGGAAUAUUGGACAAUGGGCGAAAGCCUGAUCCAGCCAUGCCGCGUGUGUGAAGAAGGUCUUCGGAUUGUAAAGCACUUUAAGUUGGGAGGAAGGGCAGUAAGUUAAUACCUUGCUGUUUUGACGUUACCGACAGAAUAAGCACCGGCUAACUUCGUGCCAGCAGCCGCGGUAAGAC